UCUACGUCAACGUCAAUUUCAAGUCCUGUCCAAGCCCUCGUGUACCAGUCCCUCCGUUUAACUGAUGCUCCAGAAGGAAGUCACCCAGAACAAAGCGGUGGUCCUUACCUGAAGAGCUCCUCCGCCAACAGCAACUGGAAGCACACCAGGCUGACGCAAUAAACAGACAGCGGAUGAAGGACACGCAUCUCCGGGCGAAGGUUGCUUCUGCACCCACUCUGGUGAGGGAGGCAGAGUGGAGGUGGUGGGGAACACCGCACUGGUGCAGAGAUGUUUGAUUCCCAAACAAAAGAAAAAUGGGGAUAAAGUGCAAAAAAGACAAAAAAAGGUGAUGACUACUUGAACUAUCCAAGCUUGGUAGGGGAAAGUGCACCACUGUGAGGGGAAGGAAAAUAAUUAGUCAAGCGGGAAAGUGCUUACAAGUGCAUACCUUGAUUCACAUUGGCUUGAUUCACAGCUUUAAAAUCCCAUUCAAAAGCUUACCUUGUGUGAGUGUGACUCAGGUGCUGCUGCUGCGCUUGUUGUAUCCAAGUGGUCAAGAUCAAGUUCUCUCAACGCCUUUGCUGACAUUGAGAGUUUAAAUAGGGAGUGGGCGGGAACAAAAUCAUGAAAGAAGGAUAACCUCCCACUUCCAUCUGUAUGCUUUUACAUUACAAACUCUAUGCUCUUUUUAGAUGGUCAUGAUCAAUUCAUACUGGUGGAUUGGCAACUUAUUUAAAAAAGGUCUCAUUCUAUUUAAUUAUUUCUCCAUUCAUUUGUAUUUUAUGUUAGUAUAAGUUACUUGACAAUAUUUAAAAGCGUAUUUUCAGCAUAGGGACGGUAGAGACUUAA